UUGCCUACGGGGGGCAGCAGUGAGGAAUAUUGGUCAAUGGCCGAGAGGCUGAACCAGCCAAGUCGCGUGAGGGAAGACGGCCCUACGGGUUGUAAACCUCUUUUGUCGGGGAGCAAAGCGAACCACGUGUGGUUCAUUGAGAGUACCCGAAGAAAAAGCAUCGGCUAACUCCGUGCCAGCAGCCGCGGUAAUACGGAGGAUGCGAGCGUUAUCCGGAUUUAUUGGGUUUAAAGGGUGCGUAGGCGGACUGUCAAGUCAGCGGUAAAAUACGGGGGCUCAACCUCCGCCCGCCGUUGAAACUGACG
rnacentral:rRNA from 1 species